AACGAACGCUGGCGGCAGGCCUAACACAUGCAAGUUGAACGCUCUAGCAAUAGAGAGUAGCGCACGGGUGCGUAACGCGUGGGAAUAUGCCCUUAGGUGCGGGACAACGUCGGGAAACUGACGCUAAUACCGCAUAAUGACUCCGGUCCAAAGAUUUAUCGCCUAGGGAUUAGCCCGCGUCUGAUUAGCUAGUUGGUGAGGUAAUGGCUCACCAAGGCUACGAUCAGUAGCUGGUCUGAGAGGAUGAUCAGCCACACUGGAACUGAGACACGGUCCAGACUCCUACGGGAGGCAGCAGUGAGGAAUAUU
rnacentral:rRNA from 1 species